GGAUUGUGGCUCAGUGGUAGAGCGCUUGCCUAGCAUGCAUGAGGCACUGGGUUCAAUCCUCAGCACCA
rnacentral:tRNA from 1 species